AACAAAAUGCGCAGAUCAAACAAAGGAUGCUGCCGACCAAUCCAGUCGCCAACAGGAUAAACAUGACGGUUCCGGAAACUGAGAUGGAUGACAGGUUUGAAAAAGGAUUGCAAUAAAAUGAUUGACAACCAACUUGAGCUUUGAAGAUCUACUUACACACGCCUAGAUUAUCUCCACCAACCACCUCCUUCCAUAUCGGAAUCCCCCCGCCACCCUGAUCGGAUGCCAAUCCCCCCGAUGCCCCAUCGGCUGAGCGCUUCACCAGGUCUUCCAUGAGGGCCUCCUUUGUCAUGAUCCCGCGGUGUGAGGCUUGGGACCGGGCCCGGGGUACACCUGAGAACACUAAACUUAUGUCACUUGUCGCUUAGAUCUGCUGGCCAAAGAUAAACCAAUCAGCCUUGGACGAAAACAUGUGGAUGCUUCAUUGUCUAAGUGAAUUUGUUCACUAAGGAAUGAACGCCAAGCGAGGCGUCCCACCCUGCAACGACCAUUUCCGUGGAGGAAGAAGCCCUCUUCUCCUCUUUCUAGAAGCGUUCCAUAUCGUCGAGCAAGUCCGUGCGGUCUUGGUCUUGGCCGCUCUCCUCUCUUCUCGCGAGGACCGCGUAGGGUUGGUUGCCUUGAAUGCGCCACUAGAAGAAGACCUAGCUGAAGGUGAAGGCUCUCCAAAGAGAAGAGGAGCUUGUGGUGCCAGCCUGUCCUUCAAGUGCUGCCAGCCAAUGGCCUACAUGGCCUUUGUGACGUAGCUGUGAUGAUGAGCAAUUUUCCUGCCAAACUACUGUACGUACGUAGGUUGGACCACCCGAACGAACGACAAGGCACAAGGAUAUUGGAAGCUACGUGCAGAGAUAUGAGCACACAAAAAGCCCAUUCAGGCUGAUUGACAGCUCCCAGCGUUUCUUGAAAAACUUUCACGUCGAUCUCAUGAGUCAAGAAAUGCCUUUCUUAUUGUG